UACAGAGGGUGCGAGCGUUAAUCGGAAUUACUGGGCGUAAAGCGCACGUAGGCGGCUUUGUAAGUUAGAGGUGAAAGCCCGGGGCUCAACUCCGGAAUUGCCUUUAAGACUGCACCGCUAGAAUUGUGGAGAGGUAAGUGGAAUUCCGAGUGUAGAGGUGAAAUUCGUAGAUAUUCGGAAGAACACCAGCGGCGAAGGCGACUUACUGGACACAUAUUGACGCUGAGGUGCGAAAGCGUGGGGAGCAAACAGG
rnacentral:rRNA from 1 species